GACGAGGUGGCCGAGUGGUUAAGGCGUUGGACUGCUAAUCCAAUGGGCUCUGCCCGCGUGGGUUCGAAUCCCAUCUUCGUCG
rfam:Aedes aegypti strain Liverpool supercont1.103 genomic scaffold, whole genome shotgun sequence.